rnacentral:misc_RNA from 1 species
AACCUUAUCAUUUAGAGGAAGGAGAAGUCGUAACAAGGUUUCCGUAGGUGAACCUGCGGAAGGAUCAUUGUCGAUACCUGCAAGGCAGAACGACCCGCGAACUCGUUUGAACGCCCCGGGGGGGGCGAGGGGCGCGCUCGUGCCCCGGACCACCCCUGCCCGACGGGAGCGAUCCCGACGGGCUCAACGAACCCCGGCGCAAUCCGCGCCAAGGAACAGAAACGAACUAGCGCGCUCUUGCGGUGACCCGGAGACGGUGCUCUCCGCUCGGGCUGCGUGUUCUUUUAUAUGUCAAUACGACUCUCGGCAACGGAUAUCUCGGCUCUCGCAUCGAUGAAGAACGUAGCGAAAUGCGAUACUUGGUGUGAAUUGCAGAAUCCCGUGAACCAUCGAGUCUUUGAACGCAAGUUGCGCCCGAAGCCGUCAGGCCGAGGGCACGUCUGCCUGGGCGUCACACACCGUUGCCCCCCCCCAGACUCAUUCUCGAUCCUGGGGGCGGGCGUAAAUUGGCCUCCCGUGAGCUCUACUCGGAUCGCGGUUGGCCCAAAAAUCGAGUACUCGGCUGCUUUGCGCCGUGACAUUCGGUGGUUGUCGAAAAAAAUCGGUGCCCCGUCACGAGCGCCGCGGGCAUGUCCCGAGACACUCUGAGAGACCCCAUCGCGCUGCUCACGCAUCGCUUCCGACGCGACCCCAGGUCAGGCGGGGCUACCCGCUGAGUUUAAGCAUAUCAAUAA